GACGGCAGCUUUUACCAAUGAACGCUUGGUACAUUGGGGACCGACAGCAUUUUCAACCAAUCAUUGGGAAGCAUCUAGAGUGACGUUGGUCUGGCCAAUAGAACUGUGAAGUGUCAUUGAUAGACGGUAAGUGAUAGAUCUGCCCUAAAGCCAAUCAGAAGUGCUACUGUGAAAUGCCCCGUAAAGAGCUGCUAGGGAAUCAAGGCCAGGACCUCCCACAUCGGAGGCAGUCUCUACCACUGAGCCCCAUUCUCCCUCAUGGCUGCCCUAAGGGACUGAGCUACAGUGGAAGAACUGGGCCUUCUAUCCGAGAUGAUCAGGAAAUGGAUUCGGAGUUCAAGAAUGACUUUGCAUACUCCUACAUCUGCAUAAGACUUGUUUAGCCCAUACAUUCUGUUCCCAGGGCCAGUUUCCAGUUUGGCUUGCUUUGCUGUGUAGCCAAGGGCUCCGCCCGGAUUCAGUGACUCAGGUCUCCAUUUCCAAGAGACUAG
rnacentral:lncRNA from 1 species